GACGAACGCUGGCGGCGUGCUUAACACAUGCAAGUCGAACGGAAAGGCCCUGCUUUUGUGGGGUGCUCGAGUGGCGAACGGGUGAGUAACACGUGAGUAAACUGCCCUUGAAUUUGGGAUAACUCUUGGAAACUGCGGCUCAUAUCGGAUAGGAGCUCUUGCUGCACGGUGGGGGUUGGUAAGAUUCGGCGGUUGGGGAUGGACUCGAGGCUUAUCAGCUUGUUGGUGGGGUAGUGGCUUACCAAGGCUUUGACGGGUAGCCGGCCUGAGAGGGUGACCGGCCACAUUGGUACUGAGAUACGGCCCAGACGCCUACGGGAGGCAGCAGUGGGGAAUAUUACAGAGUGGGCGGAAGCCUGAUGCAGCAACGCCGCGUGCGGGAUGACGGCCUUCGGGUUGUAAACCGCUUUCGCCUGUGACGAAGCGGGAGUGACGGUAAUGAGUAAAGAAGCACCGGCUAACUACGUG
rnacentral:rRNA from 1 species